rnacentral:rRNA from 1 species
CACGUAGGGUGCGAGCGUUGUCCGGAAUUACUGGGCGUAAAGCGCACGUAGGCGGCUUUCUAAGUCGGGGGUGAAAUCCUGGAGCUCAACUCCAGAACUGCCUUCGAUACUGGAAAGCUCGAGUCCGGGAGAGGUGAGUGGAACUGCGAGUGUAGAGGUGAAAUUCGUAGAUAUUCGCAAGAACACCAGUGGCGAAGGCGGCUCACUGGUCCGGUACUGACGCUGAGGUGCGAAAGCGUGGGGAGCAAACAGG